UUUCUUCUGUCGUUCCUUUGCUAAUUUUAGAGGAUCUGGCAGGAUUAAGUAACACCUGGCCACUUGUGAUGUAUUUAUGAGCUGCUGAGUUGGACACAACUUUUUUGGAGACAUAUCAGCAGUGUUAUUCAGAAUAUCCUUAAAUGUAUUGUUUUUUCUUGUUUUGUUAUUACUUGUAUAACAUUUGUUUAGUUUUGUUAUAUGUUUACACAGUUACAUACAUUUUUCUGCUGUGUGUGCUGUGCAACUUACAUGAAUACACUUUGCUGAUAGUAGGGAAGCAAGUAGUAGGUUUGAUGCUCUUGCCAAAGUGGGAACCAGAUGGGGUCGUUUUCUAUUGUGGACUCAAUUCUUUGUGUUGUAUUGUAUUUGUAUCUGUGUUGCUUCCUGUAUUCUUUAUUUCUUUUCCUCAUAAAUAAAUAUCUAUCCUUUUAAAAAAGAGCUUUUCAAAAUUAGUGCAUGACUGUGCCGAUGCAUUGAUUUUUUAUCAGGAGACGUGCAGGUGUGUUGAUAAGUUGCGUAUUCCAGGAUUUCCACUUCUGAGGCCUUGCUUGCAUGCAAUUGUUACUGCAUGAGCUGCAGGGAUUGAAAGCAUGAAAACGACAUGUUUAUUUUAUUUCUAUUUAACCAUAACAUGCAAGAGGCCAUUCUUUGACAGCAUAAACAAGGCAAGUUCUUUUGUUCUAAUGCGACAAAAGUUGAAUGCAUUUGAUUUUGAGCACAUUAGUAAGACCCAAAGUUAUGAACUAUUGAUGAACAUUACACAAGAUUUAAGAAUAAAAUAGUGUACUUCAGAAAUAGAUGUUAUCCAUUACAAUUUGUAAAUGUCCUGCAGAACUCCUAUUGAUAAACAUUACACCUGAUUUAAGAAAAAAAACUGUGUACUUCAGUAGUAGAUGUUGUCCAUUACAAUUUGUAAAUGUCCUGCACAACUCCUUUUGGUUUCUGCUUUGACUUUGCAUGUUAAGCCUCUCACCUAAGCUAGCUACUGUUUUCUUCAUAUGUAUUUUUCCAAGGUCACAGAUCCUUCAUCUGCAUAAUGUCCAUUAUUUUUCUUCUUCUGCGUUAAUAUGUGAGCAGACUGUCCUGGCCUGGGUCCUUGACUAUUUUAGCGAAAUUCUCAGAACUAGUUUUUACAGUGAUCGAGAGUAAAUUGUUUGCUUUGUUGUCCAUUUUCUGUUAUUCACUGGAUAUUUUCAUUUUCUGUUUGAAUGUUUAGACAAUUCCUGGAGUGGAGAGUUUUACAGAAUCUGUUCGCGGUCUUCCCCAAAUGGUUAUCUAGAGCAUAAAUAAGUGUGACGUGGACAUCCGAAGAGAACUAUUUAGCAGUAUAUUGCUUGCUGGUGGCACAGCAUGAAUGCAACAGUUGAAGGAGCGGCUUGACAAAGAUUUGAUAGAGGAGUCGCCGCAAGCUGCACGAGUUAAGGUCCUGGCAAGUGGUAAUGCAAUUGAAAGGCGAUUCAGGUCUGAUUUGUUUUCUUAUGUCUGUAUGUAUUCGUUUUUCCA